rnacentral:rRNA from 1 species
UACGUAGGGUGCGAGCGUUAAUCGGAAUUACUGGGCGUAAAGCGUGCGCAGGCGGUUGUGCAAGACAGGUGUGAAAUCCCCGGGCUUAACCUGGGAACUGCACUUGUGACUGCACAGCUAGAGUACGGUAGAGGGGGAUGGAAUUCCGCGUGUAGCAGUGAAAUGCGUAGAUAUGCGGAGGAACACCGAUGGCGAAGGCAAUCCCCUGGACCUGUACUGACGCUCAUGCACGAAAGCGUGGGGAGCAAACAGGAUUAGAUACCCUGGUAGUCCACGCCCUAAACGAUGUCAACUGGUUGUUGGACGGCUUGCUGUUCAGUAACGAAGCUAACGCGUGAAGUUGACCGCCUGGGGAGUACGGCCGCAAGGUUGAA